rnacentral:rRNA from 1 species
GUGGGGAAUUUUGGACAAUGGGCGAAAGCCUGAUCCAGCAAUGCCGCGUGUGUGAAGAAGGCCUUCGGGUUGUAAAGCACUUUUGGCAGGGAAGAAACAGUGCGUGCUAAUACCAUGCGCGAAUGACGGUACCUGCAGAAUAAGCACCGGCUAACUACGUGCCAGCAGCCGCGGUAAUACGUAGGGUGCAAGCGUUAAUCGGAAUUACUGGGCGUAAAGCGUGCGCAGGCGGCUUUGUAAGACGGAUGUGAAAGCCCCGGGCUCAACCUGGGAAGUGCAUUCGUGACUGAAAGGCUAGAGUGUGUCAGAGGGAGGUGGAAUUCCGCGUGUAGCAGUGAAAUGCGUAGAGAUGCGGAGGAACACCGAUGGCGAAGGCAGCCUCCUGGGAUAACACUGACGCUCAGGCACGAAAGCGUGGGGAGCAAACAGGAUUAGAAACCCCUGUAGUCC